rnacentral:rRNA from 1 species
UACGUAGGGGGCUAGCGUUGCCCGGAAUUACUGGGCGUAAAGCGCACGUAGGCGGCUUUCUAAGUCAGGGGUGAAAUCCUGGAGCUCAACUCCAGAACUGCCUUUGAUACUGGAGAGCUUGAGUUCGGGAGAGGUGAGUGGAACUGCGAGUGUAGAGGUGAAAUUCGUAGAUAUUCGCAAGAACACCAGUGGCGAAGGCGGCUCCCUGGCCCGAUACUGACGCUGAGGUGCGAAAGCGUGGGGAGCAAACAGG